UGUUGGGUUAAGUCCCGCAACGAGCGCAACCCCUAUUGUUAGUUGCCAGCACAUUAUGGUGGGGACUCUAACAAGACUGCCUACGCAAGUAGAGAGGAAGGAGGGGACGACGUCAAGUCAUCAUGGCCCUUACGCCCAGGGCUACACACGUGCUACAAUGGUGCGCACAGAGGGCUGCAAACCCGCGAGGGGGAGCCAAUCUCACAAAACGCAUCGUAGUCCGGAUCGGAGUCUGCAACUCGACUCCGUGAAGUCGGAAUCGCUAGUAAUCGCGGAUCAGCAUGCCGCGGUGAAUACGUUCCCAGGCCUUGUACACACCGCCCGUCACACCAUGGGAGUUGGAUUCACCCGAAGGCGGUGCGCUAACCUUUUAGGAGGCAGCCGACCACGGUGGGUUCAGCGACUGGGGUGAAGUCGAAACAAGGUAGCCGUAGGGGAACCUGCGGCUGGAUCACCUCCUU
rnacentral:rRNA from 1 species